rnacentral:ncRNA from 2 species
CCCCUAGAUGAACAAGACGGUUCCUGAAUUGGGAUCAAAAGGGAAUGCGGUGCGGGGAAACUCCCCUAGGCCGCGGCUGCCCCCGCAACUGUAUGCGGUGAAUCCUUUGUCAUAUGCCACUGGGAAACUCGGUCCUGGGAAGGCGACAAAGGGUAUCGACCCGCGAGCCAGGAGACCUGCCGUCAGCCGUGGUCACAC